UACGGGGGGGGCAAGCGUUGUUCGGAAUUACUGGGCGUAAAGGGCUCGUAGGUGGCCAACUAAGUCAGACGUGAAAUCCCUCGGCUUAACCGGGGAACUGCGUCUGAUACUGGAUGGCUUGAGUUUGGGAGAGGGACGCGGAAUUCCAGGUGUAGCGGUGAAAUGCGUAGAUAUCGGGAAGAACACCCGUGGCGAAGGCGGCUCUCUGGAACGCAACUGACGCUGAGACGCGAAAGCGUGGGGAGCAAACAGGG
rnacentral:rRNA from 1 species